GAUGAACGCUAGCGGCAAGCUUAAUACAUGCAAGUCGAGGGGCAGCAUGACUGUAGCAAUACAGUUGAUGGCGACCGGCAAACGGGUGCGGAACACGUACAGAACCUUCCUUCGAGCGGGGAAUAGCCCAGAGAAAUUUGGAUUAAUACCCCAUAGUAUUACGGAGUGGCAUCACUUUGUAAUUAAAGAUUUAUCACUUGAAGAUGGCUGUGCGGCUGAUUGGAUAGUUGGCAGGGUAACGGCCUACCAAGUCUACGAUCAGUAACUGGUGUGAAAGAACGACCAGUCACACGGGCACUGAGACACGGGCCCGACUCCUACGGGAGGCAGCAGUAAGGAAUAUUGGUCAAUGGACGAAAGUCUGAACCAGCUAUGCCGCGUGGAGGAUGAAGGCCCUCUGGGUUGUAAACUUCUUUUAUAUGGGACGAAAAAGGGCCUUUCUAGGUCAACUGACGGUACCAUGUGAAUAAACACCGGCUAACUCCGUGCCAGCAGCCGCGGUAAAAC
rnacentral:rRNA from 1 species